GUCGCCUCUGGGCGUAGAUUUGAUGGCGGAGGAGGAGGAAAGACUGUGCCUGCCGGGAAGCAGCAAAAUAAUGGCUUGAGCCCGCGGAAUAGGCAAUUCUUUUCGGCGGCCAUUAUCAUUUAUUUGUACCAGCGACGUUAUGCGACUGUGUUCGCGUUGUGAAACCAUCUGGCCGCGUCAUUGAACGCCCGCGGUGAGCUCAGCGAUGUUCAAUUUCGCCGAUUUUCCCGAAAAUGGUAAGAAGCAAGUGCGACUUCGCAAACUCGUGGGAGUGCGACCACAGGGCGACAAUCAGCAGCGGUGAGCCUCCAUGUGCGCUGGAUCGUCGGGCCCUGGAGUGCGUGCUGUACAGCUGCGAACCAGUGUUGAUUCGGAUUAAACCGGGAGAGGUCGACACUAAUAAUAACACCACGAAAUAAAGCAGAACCCCCGGCUUUCCACUGCAACUACAGAGUGGACCACAGCACUAAAUUAAAGCAGGAGAGGUCGACAGUAAUAACAACGCCGCCAAGGAAAUCAGAACAUUCGGCUCUCCAGUGCAACUAUAGAGUGGACCACAGCACUGGUUCGACGAUCGACUAGAAGUCCAGGAGUCAUCAGAACAAAUAAUUCUGAACAUAUACGAAUGAUACCUGACGUGUUUCUGAUGAUGAAGCAAUUAUGUUAAUAUGAAGUACAUAUUUGAAAAGGCUUCUUUUUUUUCUUAUUGGCAGUGUACAUAAAAAGAACUUCACUUGUA